GGGGGGGGGGGGGGGGGGGGGGGGGGGGGGGGGGGGGGGGGGGGGGGCGCGGGGGGGGGGGGGGGCGCGAGGGGCGGGCGGGGGGGGGGGGCGUGAGUGGGCGGGCCUGGGCGGUGGGGUGAGUUCGGGAAGCUGGGGCGAAUACCGGCUGUGAGCUCCUGCUUCAUGGUGGGGGUGGGGAAGUUUCGGCGGUUGGGGAUGGGCGCGCGGCUUCUCAGCGUGUUGGUGGGGUAGUGGCUUACCAAGGCUUUGACGGGUCGCCGGCCUGAGAGGGUGACCGGCCACAUUGGGACUGAGAUACGGCCCAGACUCCUACGGGAGGCAGCAGUGGGGAAUAUUGCACAAUGGGCGGAAGCCUGAUGCAGCAACGCCGCGUGCGGGAUGACGGCCUUCGGGUUGUAAACCGCUUUCGCCUGUGACGAAGCGUGAGUGACGGUAAUGGGUAAAGAAGCACCGGCUAACUACGUG
rnacentral:rRNA from 1 species